CAGCCGCCGCGGUAAUACGAAGGGUGCAAGCGUUAAUCGGAAUUACUGGGCGUAAAGCGUGCGUAGGCGGUUUGUUAAGUCUGUUGUGAAAUCCCCGGGCUCAACCUGGGAAUGGCAAUGGAUACUGGCAAGCUAGAGUGUGUCAGAGGAUGGUGGAAUUCCCGGUGUAGCGGUGAAAUGCGUAGAGAUCGGGAGGAACAUCAGUGGCGAAGGCGGCCAUCUGGGACAACACUGACGCUGAGGCACGAAAGCGUGGGGAGCAAACAGGAUUAGAUACCCGAGUAGUCCCUGUCUCUUAUAC
rnacentral:rRNA from 1 species